rfam:Williamsia sp. Leaf354 contig_1, whole genome shotgun sequence.
UCGUGCGGCAUCGAGCCCGGUCACCGCCCUCGGUGGCGGCCGGGCAAGAGGGAACCCGGUGAGAAUCCGGGACUGUCCCGCAGCGGUGAGUGGGAACGACCGCCGACAAUCAGCACUGGCGGGUCCGCGAGAGCGGACCUGCUGGGAAGCGUCGGCCAGUAGGCCGCGAGUGUCACGCCCACGAGUCCGAAGACCUGCCAGUUGUGCCGGGUGCGC